rnacentral:rRNA from 1 species
UGGGGAAUUUUCCGCAAUGGGCGAAAGCCUGACGGAGCAAUGCCGCGUGGAGGUGGAAGGCCUACGGGUCGUCAACUUCUUUUCUCGGAGAAGAGACAAUGACGGUAUCUGAGGAAUAAGCAUCGGCUAACUCUGUGCCAG